rnacentral:rRNA from 1 species
UGGAGAAAAGCAGGGGAUCGUAAGACCUUGCGCUUUUGGAGUGGCCGAUGCCUGAUUAGCUAGUUGGUGGGGUAAAGGCCUACCAAGGCGACGAUCAGUAGUUGGUCUGAGAGGACGACCAGCCACACUGGGACUGAGACACGGCCCAGACUCCUACGGGAGGCAGCAGUGGGGAAUUUUGGACAAUGGGCGAAAGCCUGAUCCAGCAAUGCCGCGUGAGUGAAGAAGGCCUUCGGGUUGUAAAGCUCUUUCAGUCGAGAAGAAAAGAUUGUGGUGAAUAAUCACAGUUCGUGACGGUAUCGACAGAAGAAGCACCGGCUAACUACGUGCCAGCAGCCGCGGUAAUACGUAGGGUGCAAGCGUUAAUCGGAAUUACUGGGCGUAAAGGGUGCGCAGGCGGCUUUGUAAGUCAGAUGUGA